GAUGAACGCUGGCGGCGUGCUUAACACAUGCAAGUCGAACGAGAAGUGAAGACGGAAACCUUCGGGCGGAAGGCUUUAUUUCGAGUGGCGGACGGGUGAGUAACGCGUGGGUAACCGCCUCAUACAGGGGGAUAACAGUUGGAAACGACUGUUAAUACCGCAUAAGACCACAGCACCGCAUGGUGCGGGGGUAAAAACUCCGGUGGUAUGAGAUGGACCCGCGUUCGAUUAGCCAGUUGGCGGGGUAACGGCCCACCAAAGCGACGAUCGAUAGCCGAUCUGAGAGGAUGACCGGCCACAUUGGGACUGAGACACGGCCCAAACUCCUACGGGAGGCAGCAGUGGGGAAUAUUGCACAAUGGGGGAAACCCUGAUGCAGCGACGCCGCGUGAGUGAAGAAGUAUUUCGGUAUGUAAAGCUCUAUCAGCAGGGAAGAAAAUGACGGUACCUGAGUAAGAAGCCCCGGCUAACUACGUG
rnacentral:rRNA from 1 species